GGGGAGUUGGCAGAGCGGUCGAAUGCACCUGACUGUAAAUCAGGCACACCACACCCUGGUUCGAAUCCAGGACGCCCCA
rnacentral:tRNA from 1 species